rnacentral:rRNA from 1 species
ACGAACGCUGGCGGCACGCUUAACACAUGCAAGUCGAACGAGAGAAGAGAAGCUUGCUUUUCUGAUCUAGUGGCGGACGGGUGAGUAACACGUGAGCAAUCUGCCUUUCAGAGGGGGAUACCGAUUGGAAACGAUCGUUAAUACCGCAUAAUAUAAUUGAACCGCAUGAUUUGAUUAUCAAAGAUUUAUCGCUGAAAGAUGAGCUCGCGUCUGAUUAGCUAGUUGGUAAGGUAACGGCUUACCAAGGCGACGAUCAGUAGCCGGACUGAGAGGUUGAUCGGCCACAUUGGGACUGAGACACGGCCCAGACUCCUACGGGAGGCAGCAGUGGGGAAUAUUGCACAAUGGAGGAAACUCUGAUGCAGCGAUGCCGCGUGAGGGAAGAAGGUUUUAGGAUUGUAAACCUCUGUCUUCAGGGACGAAAAAAGACGGUACCUGAGGAGGAAGCUCCGGCUAACUACGUGCCAGCAGCCGCGGUAAUACGUAGGGAGCGAGCGUUGUCCGGAAUUACUGGGUGUAAAGGGAGCGUAGGCGGGAUCGCAAGUCAGAUGUGAAAACUAUGGGCUUAACCCAUAAACUGCAUUUGAAACUGUGGUUCUUGAGUGAAGUAGAGGUAAGCGGAAUUCCUAGUGUAGCGGUGAAAUGCGUAGAUAUUAGGAGGAACAUCAGUGGCGAAGGCGGCUUACUGGGCUUUAACUGACGCUGAGGCUCGAAAGCGUGGGGAGCAAACAGGAUUAGAUACCCUGGUAGUCCACGCCGUAAACGAUGAUUACUAGGUGUGGGGGGACUGACCCCUUCCGUGCCGCAGCAAACGCAAUAAGUAAUCCACCUGGGGAGUACGACCGCAAGGUUGAAACUCAAAGGAAUUGACGGGGGCCCGCACAAGCGGUGGAGUAUGUGGUUUAAUUCGACGCAACGCGAAGAACCUUACCAAGGCUUGACAUUGAUUGAACGCUCUAGAGAUAGAGCUUUCCCUUCGGGGACAAGAAAACAGGUGGUGCAUGGUUGUCGUCAGCUCGUGUCGUGAGAUGUUGGGUUAAGUCCCGCAACGAGCGCAACCCUUACUGUUAGUUGCUACGCAAGAGCACUCUAGCAGGACUGCCGUUGACAAAACGGAGGAAGGUGGGGAUGACGUCAAAUCAUCAUGCCCCUUAUGACCUGGGCCUCACACGUACUACAAUGGCUGUAAACAGAGGGAUGCAAAGCCGCGAGGUGGAGCGAACCCCUAAAAGCAGUCUUAGUUCGGAUUGUAGGCUGCAACCCGCCUACAUGAAGUCGGAAUUGCUAGUAAUCGCAGAUCAGCAUGCUGCGGUGAAUACGUUCCCGGGCCUUGUACACACCGCCCGUCACGCCAUGGGAGUCGGUAACACCCGAAGCCUGUAGUCUAACCGCAAGGAGGACGCAGUCGAAGGUGGGAUUGAUGACUGGGGUG